rnacentral:rRNA from 1 species
UGUCGGGUUAAGCCCCAUAACGAGCGCACCCCUAUUGUAGUUGCCAUCAGGUCAUGCUGGGACUCUAACAAACUGCCCGCGUAAGCGUGGAGGAAGGUGGGGAUGACGUCAAAUCAGCAGGCCCUUACGUCCAGGGCUACACACGUGCUACAAUGGCCGGUACAGAGGGCAGCCACUUGGUGACAAGGAGCAAAAUCUCAAAAGCCGGUCUCAGUUCGGAUCGGAGUCUGCAACUCGACUCCGUGAAGUUGGAUUCGCUAGUAAUCGUAGAUCAGCAAUGCUACGGUGAAUACGUUCCCGGGCCUU